rnacentral:lncRNA from 12 species
GGAUUUGUAAGCUCCUACAGACUAUCCAAUUUCCGUGCUUCGCCUUCAUAUCUCCGGAAGAGUCAGAGGGCUGUGGAGUAGUGCACAACCAUAAGGGAUGCUUAUCAGCAACAGAAUUGGAGCUUCCGGACAGUAGAGUUGAGGAAAGCAUGUCUACCUGCAUCCACCUAUCUGGUUACAGGAUCUCCCCAGAGAAGGAACCUGAUAGGAAAAAAACUCCUGCUGGAAGCCACAGUAUGAGAAGUUACAAGAUGAGACAGCAAAGAAAAACUGCACCUGAACCUCAGUGAGAAGGCCCUUACCAAGUACUGUUAACAACUAACACAACAGUAAACUUGUGCCUCCCAAGUCAGAAGACAUAAACCGCACCGAGUCCCUGGGAGGCUGUCCUGAGACCUCUAACAGCGACAUCUGAGGAUUCAUUCCAAAACAGACAAGGGCAGGAAGUUGCCCCUUCCACGCAAGACCAUUGGGACCACAGUGGUGACUGCCGCAAGUGUCACCAUCCUUCAAGAUCCACCAGAUGAGACCAUCAGAACCACCCACCACGGUGCCUUCAUCUCUAUAUAUUUUUGCUCCUUUGUUCUUCCCUCUCUGCAGAGUUAAGGUUUAAAUUGUUGACCCUUCUUACCUAUUAACCAUAGUAACUCCAGGGUCUUUAUCUUUCAUACUUUUUUUUGUUUGUUUUUAUUUUACCUUAGUCACUCCUCCGUAUGAGUCCAAGGCCAGGCUGCACUUUGUUUAUGAUGUGGCUACAACACGCAAUUACACUGUCUGCUGGGUUUGUACUUACUUUUCUUUGGGUGCCAUCCAACUUCCUUUGCUAUCAAUAGCAUGGAAUUAAUCAAAUUAUUUCCUAGGAGAUAAGACUCCACCAAGAAGUGAGCUGGGGGUGAAAAAAUAGGAUAACAGGUCAAAGAGAAUUCUAAAACCCCUGUCACCUCAUGCAUGGAAGGGAAAGUUUGGGGUUCUAAACAAAACAAUGCUCAGAAGCCUUUUGUUGAAAAUUAGCUUUUCCACCCAGGUUUUCACAAAAAGAAAGCCAGCAGUGAUAGUAAAAUGAGUGACAAGGAGGUGUUUUGAGAAAAUGGGACACAGUGAAAACAGAUGG